GACGAGCCUCACAAACGUUAUUCGGAAUUACUGGGCUUAAAGGGUGCGUAGGCGGCGCGGUAAGUCGGGUGUGAAAUCUUGGAGCUUAACUCCGAAACUGCAUUCGAUACUGCCGUGCUUGAGGACUGGAGAGGAGACUGGAAUUUACGGUGUAGCGGUGAAAUGCGUAGAUAUCGUAAGGAAGACCAGUGGCGAAGGCGGGUCUCUGGACAGUUCCUGACGCUGAGGCACGAAGGUCAGGGGAGCAAACGGG
rnacentral:rRNA from 1 species